rnacentral:rRNA from 1 species
UACGUAGGGGGCAAGCGUUGUCCGGAAUUAUUGGGCGUAAAGAGCGUGUAGGCGGUCCGGUAAGUCAGCUGUGAAAGUCAAGGGCUCAACCCUUGAAAGCCGGUUGAUACUGUCGGGCUAGAGUCCGGAAGAGGCGAGUGGAAUUCCCGGUGUAGCGGUGAAAUGCGCAGAUAUCAGGAAGAACACCCGUGGCGAAGGCGGUUCUCUGGGACGGUACUGACGCUGAGACGCGAAAGCGUGGGGAGCAAACAGG